rnacentral:sRNA from 1 species
GCUGGGCACUUUGGUGCAUGCCUGUAAUCCCAGCAACUAGGGAGGCUGAGACAGGAGGAUCAUGAGUUCAAAGUCAGCCUCAGCAAAAAGCGAGGCACUAAGCAACUCAGUGAGAUCCUGGCUCUA